rnacentral:SRP_RNA from 1 species
GCCGGGCGCAGUGGCCUGUGCCUGUAGUCCCAGCUACUCGGGAGGCUGAGUUGGGAGGAUCGCUUGAGCCCAGGAGUCCUGGGCUGUAGUGCGCUAUGCCGAUCGGGUGUCUGCACUAAGUUUGGCAUCAAUAUGGUGACCUCCCGGGAGCGGGGGACCACCAGGUUGCCUAAGGAGGAGUGAACCGGCCCAGGUCGGAAAUGGAGCAGGUCAAAACUCCCGUGCUGAUCAGUAGUGGGAUUUGCAUCUGUGAAUAGCCACUGCACUCCAGCCUGGGCAACCAUAGCGAGACCCUGUCUUU